CGAACGGGAUCUGCGUGGCCUUUUGGUUGUGUGGUGAGAGUGGCGAACGGGUGAGUAACACGUGAGUAACCUGCCUUUUUCUUUGGGAUAACGCUCAGAAAUGAGUGCUAAUACUGGAUGUUCUGCGCUUUCCGCAUGGGGGGUGUGGGAAAGGGGCUUUUUAAGUUUCUGGAGGGAGAUGGGCUCGCGGCUUAUCAGCUUGUUGGUGGGGUGAUGGCUUACCAAGGCUUUGACGGGUAGCCGGCCUGAGAGGGUGGGCGGUCACAUUGGGACUGAGAUACGGCCCAGACUCCUACGGGAGGCAGCAGUGGGGAAUUUUGCACAAUGGGGGGAACCUUGAUGCAGCGACGCCGCGUGAGGGAUGGAGGCCUUCGGGUUGUGAACCUCUUUCGCUCGUGUGCAAGCCGCUAUUUGGGUAGUGGUGAGUGUAGCGGGUAAAGAAGCGCCGGCUAACUACGUGCCAGCAGCCGCGGUAAUACGUAGGGCGCGAGCGUUGUCCGGAUUUAUUGGGCGUAAAGGGCUUGUAGGCGGUUUGUCGCGCCUGUCGUGUAAUCCUCUGGCUUAACUGGGGGUGUGCGGUGGGUACGGGCAGGCUUGAGUGCGGUAGGGGAGAUUGGAAUUCCUGGUGUAGCGGUGGAAUGCGCAGAUAUCAGGAGGAACACCGGUGGCGAAGGCGGGUCUCUGGGCCGUUACUGACGCUGAGGAGCGAAAGCGUGGGGAGCGAACAGGAUUA
rnacentral:rRNA from 1 species